AUUGAACGCUGGCGGCAGGCCUAACACAUGCAAGUCGAACGGUAACAGGAAGAAGCUUGCGUCUUUGCUGACGAGUGGCGGACGGGUGAGUAAUGUCUGGGAAACUGCCUGAUGGAGGGGGAUAACUACUGGAAACGGUAGCUAAUACCGCAUAAUGUCGCAAGACCAAAGAGGGGGACCUUCUGGCCUCUUGCCAUCGCAUGUGCCCUGAUGGGAUUAGCUAGUAGGUGGGGUAACGGCUCACCUCGGCGACUAUCCCUAGCUGGUCUGAGAGGAUGACCAGCCACAGUGGAACUGAGCCACGGUCCAGACUCCUACGGGCGGCAGCAGUGGGGAAUAUUGCACAAUGGGCGGAAGCCUGAUGCAGCUAUGCCGCGUGUAUGAAGAAGGCCUUCGGGUUGUAAAGUACUUUCAGCGGGGAGGAAGGGAGUCAAGUUAAUACCUUUGCUCAUUGACGUUACCCGCAGAAGAAGCACCGGCUAACUACGUG
rnacentral:rRNA from 1 species